rnacentral:rRNA from 1 species
UCAGCGGCAGACGGGUGAGUAACGCGUGGGAACGUACCUUUUGGUUCGGAACAACACAGGGAAACUUGUGCUAAUACCGGAUAAGCCCUUACGGGGAAAGAUUUAUCGCCGAAAGAUCGGCCCGCGUCUGAUUAGCUAGUUGGUGAGGUAAUGGCUCACCAAGGCGACGAUCAGUAGCUGGUCUGAGAGGAUGAUCAGCCACAUUGGGACUGAGACACGGCCCAAACUCCUACGGGAGGCAGCAGUGGGGAAUAUUGGACAAUGGGGGCAACCCUGAUCCAGCCAUGCCGCGUGAGUGAUGAGGGCCCUAGGGUUGUAAAGCUCUUUUGUGCGGGAAGAUAAUGACGGUACCGCAAGAAUAAGCCCCGGCUAACUUCGUGCCAGCAGCCGCGGUAAUACGAAGGGGGCUAGCGUUGCUCGGAAUCACUGGGCGUAAAGGGUGCGUAGGCGGGUCUUUAAGUCAGGGGUGAAAUCCUGGAGCUCAACUCCAGAACUGCCUUUGAUACUGAGGAUCUUGAGUUCGGGAGAGGUGAGUGGAACUGCGAGUGUA